UACGUAGGGCGCAAGCGUUGUCCGGAAUUAUUGGGCGUAAAGAGCUCGUAGGCGGUCUGUCACGUCGGGAGUGAAAACACGGGGCUUAACCCCGUGCCUGCUUCCGAUACGGGCAGACUAGAGGUAUGCAGGGGAGAACGGAAUUCCUGGUGUAGCGGUGAAAUGCGCAGAUAUCAGGAGGAACACCGGUGGCGAAGGCGGUUCUCUGGGCAUUACCUGACGCUGAGGAGCGAAAGUGUGGGGAGCGAACAGG
rnacentral:rRNA from 1 species